UACAGAGGUCUCAAGCGUUGUUCGGAUUCAUUGGGCGUAAAGGGUGUGUAGGUGGCGCCGUAAGUCGGGUGUGAAAUUUCGGAGCUUAACUCCGAAACUGCAUUCGAUACUGCGGUGCUUGAGGACUGGAGAGGAGACUGGAAUUCAUGGUGUAGCAGUGAAAUGCGUAGAGAUCAUGAGGAAGACCAGUGGCGAAGGCGGGUCUCUGGACAGUUCCUGACGCUGAAGCACGAAGGCCAGGGGAGCAAACGGGG
rnacentral:rRNA from 1 species